UACGUAGGGCGCAAGCGUUGUCCGGAAUUAUUGGGCGUAAAGAGCUCGUAGGCGGCCUGUCGCGUCCGCUGUGAAAUCCCGGGGCUCAACCCCGGGCCUGCAGUGGAUACGGGCUGGCUAGAGGCAGGCAGGGGAGAACGGAAUUCCUGGUGUAGCGGUGAAAUGCGCAGAUAUCAGGAGGAACACCGGUGGCGAAGGCGGUUCUCUGGGCCUGUACUGACGCUGAGGAGCGAAAGCGUGGGGAGCGAACAGG
rnacentral:rRNA from 1 species